UUCAAUAAGGCGCGAAAUUUAAAUUUAUAUGAACUCUUCUAUCCGAUUCCAUUGCAAUGAACUUUUACGUACGACGCUCGCCAGUUCUCAUAAUUAUUCGUCUGCUAGGCUUCGCGGUGAAUCCUGCGUCGGUAUUUCUCGUACGUUUUCGAGGGUAGUGCGUAGGCUGCCCUCCGAACGCUCGCUUUACCAGACUGUACGUUAGAACGUCUCGAAACCCCGGUAUGAACGUAUCGUCGUACCAUCGGUCCAACGUAUGGCUUUCUUGUUCCCAUUGUGUUGCCUGAGUGAUAUCCUUUGUCAUUUAUUUUCAAAGGCACUAGGAUUUUUCUGUUUCUAUUCUCACUGCUGAGGUGAAAACUCUCUGGGGAUUGCACGAGUAGAAAAUGAUAAAGUGGAUAAGAAAACGAUAAUUUACUUCUCUCCGGUAUAACAAAUGUUAGUUGAAGUAGGAAAGAUCAAAGGACGAGCUCAAGAGUCUCAAGCUUCCUCGAUUACCUGAAUAUCCUCAAAAAAUGGAGCCAGUGUCUUCUGUUAUCUUGGGACACGGAGUAUGGACGGUCUGAAGAAAUGGAUCAAAAAUGAAAAAUAUUUCCUGUAUAAAACAGCCAUCCGCGAUGAGGAUACCCAUUUUUUGGGAGACGCGCGAAACGUCCAGGAUGGAGGAGAAUCUUUUAGGUAUUGGGAUCUUUACAUAAGAAAGCUCGACGGGACUUCAUAAAAACGUCAGGCAACGUUGGGAUGACACCGGAUACCUUUGGGAAAUUUUCGUGGAAGGUUCGAGCAAAAGGACGAGGGUUCUAAGCGGUUUCUAAUGGUAGAUUCACUGAUGAAAGGUUAACUUUUCAAUAUGACGAGAUGUGAAUAUAUCGAAAGGUUCAAUGAUAACGAAAGCCAAAGAAAUUAUCAAGGUUACGAGGAUGCCUUUAAUACGAAUCGAACGAUUAUCGAUAAGUUGGAUAUUAUCGAAUUCAUGAAUCUCAGCUGUUCCUCGUCGACCGUUAUCAAUCCUAAUGAGAAUUUCUGGCUGCUGGUCGUGAAGGAACCUCUCCUAGCACUUGAGGCUUUGGCUCUCCUCAGUGUAAUUCUUCUUACCGUGGGUGGAAAUACACUAGUCAUAGCUGCUAUAGCGUCCAGUCCCAGUCUGCGGGCGCCAACGCAUUCUCUUAUAGUGAAUCUGGCAUGUGCGGAUCUUAUACUGGGAUUAACAGUGCUACCAUUAUCAGCUAGCAGAGAACUCAGAGGAAGCUGGGGUCUGGGACCACUUACUUGUUCCUUGUGGGCAGCACUCGAUGUUCUCUGUUGUACAGCCAGCAUUCUGUCGCUAUGUGGAAUUUCAGUAGACAGGUACAUCGGUGUGUCCAGACCACUCUCUUACUCUCGUGUGGUCACGACAAGAAGGGUAAGGGCGACUAUAGCUACUAUUUGGCUUUUGGCACUGGCCAUUAGUGCGGGUCCACCCUUAGGAUGGGCACAGGAAAGUGUCUACGUAUCGGAAACCAGAGAGUGUAACGUGAAUAAACAGCUUGGCUAUGUCAUCUUUUCUACCUGUGGAUCAUUUUAUCUACCUGCCCUUGUCAUCUUGGUACUAUACGGACUGGUUUAUAGAGCAGCCGCUAGACGAUCUCAAUUCCUUGAUGCAGGAGCCGUGACCAGGAGUCAAGUGACACUGCGUAUACACCGAGGUAACAAGCUUACCAAAAGCAAUGUACGUAAAGAUGGAUCAAGUACUAUAUUGGUAUCUCGCCCUGGUCCACCUAGACGCUGGGCAUCGCAAGGACGUGGCGGCCCACUUUGUCGUGGUCCAGCUGCGAAAUUUCGAAGACAGAAAAAAGCUGCAAAAACAUUGGGAAUUGUUGUUGGCGGUUUUCUUCUAUGCUGGUUUCCAUUCUUCGUCAUAUUACCUAUAGGUGAGGAUGCCUAUAUUUUCGAUGACUUUGCAUUUUGGAUCUAGCGUUAAAAAUAACCUAGACAUUGAGUGAUGUAACUACUCGAUAUUUGGACUACAUGGUUUUACAAGCACUUACUGAUACUAAGCGAGAAUAUAGAAAUAACAAGUAGUAUAGGCUGUGAAUAUUAAACGUGGCGGAGAAUCAUAAAUGUUAAAUCAAAGCGAUACGGAUACGGGAAAUGAAGACAGAAUACUGAUGCGAAACAAAGAGUUCUGAAAUGCAGCAUGCGAGAGCUGUAAUCUAUCUGAAAGUGCGAUAUUCACUUUCGCAUUUUGGCUGGGAUAUUUCAACAGUUGCAUCAAUCCUUUCAUCUAUGCAUGCAGCAGUCGGGAGCUCAGA